UGGGAAAAGGUCAUGUGGGCUCUGAACAGUGGGAAAAAAAUAGAGUGGAAAGGGAACACAUAAGUGGUCCUAGCUAGAAGGGAUCCAUCAGGGGUCACAUGGGCACCUCUCACUGUUUAACAUCUACUAAGGCUCCAUGAGAGCUUGCCAGGAUCGCAUUUAUUUGUCGCGGCAUAAGAUGCCCAAAGAUGAGCAUGUGCAUGGGCCAUGGCCUCGAGGCCUCGUCGCUGUUAUCAUCAUCAAUUAAUCUACGGUUCC
rnacentral:lncRNA from 1 species